AUUUUAAAAUGCUAGUAACUUACUUUAUAAUCUUUCACACAAACAAAUAUUAUGUAUACAAUAUGAUAUCUCUUGAUUUGAACCAUCAAUUAGUGGAUAUAUUUUGGAUUUCUAAUGAGGUUGAAAGAGUUCAAGAUUGAACCAUAACUCUUAGUAUUAGGAGAGAAAAUACACCACACAUAAUAUGUAAACUCAUCCUCUAUAUGCAGUGGACCGCACUAGUUUCUAUUAAACUUGUUUUAAAAUGAGUUUUAUUAAUGCAUCACGAUAAAUAACAAUAACUUGUUUUUACCCAUUAAACUUUAAAAUUAGAGGUUAUGAAUUAAAGGUUGGUUUCCUAUUAUCGGUGUUUAAUAAUAGGGUCGAAACUCAUUCUAAUUGUAAUACUACUAAACAAAGAAAAUUCUUUUCUCACAUUCACUAUCAUAAAUUAGAGAUUGAAUCUCUAGUAUAAAAUCAGUUCAUAGGUUAACAUGACCAAAUUAUUUUUAACAUGUUUUUGGACAUCAUUUCCUUUUUUAGGAAGUAGAUGGCAUCAGUUGUAACCACAACUUUAAUUCUCAUUAAUACAAUUUUUUACCAUUUUAUUUACAUAACUUUAAUCCAACUUUAAGUUGGGUAAAUGAAUAAAGAAUCCAAUUACUUUAAUUCUUCAAUAUUAAGAGUCAAAAUGACUUUUCUUUAGCAAGAUAGCUAAACUUAUUAGCUUGUAUAAUUUCACAAUGUGCAAUUAUACUAAAUAUUACGAUACUAUGGUGAUAUAUAUUAUUUCUUUAAUUUAUCCUUAAUAUAUAUGAAACCAACAUGUGCAAAAUGUACACUCUUUUACUAAAGAAUAUUUAAUUCAACAUUUAACGCACUCAUAGUGUGCAAAAUGUACGCUCUUUUACUAAAGAAUGUUUAAUUCAACAUUCAAGAUACCAUAUAUAUAUAAUAAUAUACUCAUUCAUCUUUUUACUAUUUAGUGAAUUCUUAAAUAUUAUUGUUCACAUAACUAUGAGACCUUCAACUAUCCAUCCUUAGUAAAAUAUCUCGACACAACUCAUAUGAGAGAGCACAAAAGUAAGUAUAUAUAUCAAAUAUAAUCAUUCUCAAAACAAAAUGUUUAAUUUCAUGACAUUUUUGUGUUUUUCAAAAUAUAAUGUAAAUCUAUGCUUUUGAACUUAUUAGUCUUUCACAUUGACUAAUUUUUCUUUGUUGGUAUUCAAGUUUGCAUUAUUGAUCAAUCCUUCUAUAUAUAGAGUAUUGUAACACAAUUAUCAUGUAACGCCCCAAAAAUCCAAGUAAUUAUUUUUGUAUUUUUGUUACACAAUUGUGUAUCUAUUUCAGUGGUUAUAUGUUUUGGGAGUGUCUAAGAAGUCUUGGGUUCAAGCCUUGGCUUGGGCAAAAGUUUUGUUUUUAAUUGAAUAAACCCUUAUCCCUAGUCAGUAGACUUAAAAAUAAAUGUUGAUAAAAUAUGUUUGAAUAGGCUUAUUGGUCUAGUGGUUAAGUGGAGUGUUGGUUAUGUUUGAGAUCCUAAGUUCAAAUCCUUGCGCAAAUAAGGCAUUUAUUUUGCUGCUUGUGUCAUGUGAGAGUUUGAGAUUGACUAAAAUUCUGAGUAGUGGGAAAGAUGGAGUGAUUUUAGGAGGAAAUUAUGGGAUGUGGGAAGUUAUCUCGAUUUGGGGAGAAAAGUAAAGUGUUUGAGGGGUGUGGGGAAGUGUGGGAGCGAAUGUAGGGAUAGGAGGAGUUAAUUAAGGAAUUUUAAAGGUUAUCAGAAAAUCUGAUAGAGUUGUAUUUUGGUUUCUUACCAAAACUGUUUAUUUAUCUACCUUUCUAACGUAUUCCUUUUCUUUUCCCCUCUUACCGAAUUUUUCCAUUGGUUCCUCCCUCUCUCUUUUCCUUUGUCGAAAUAUGUCUCUCUUCUACCCUACUCCUUUCCUUUGUUUUCCUUUCUUAUUCCUUUUCCGCUGUGCCUCGGUUGUUUUUCCUAUGAUUGGUAAGAUUGUGUAUUAAUGGAAUUCUAUCGUUGUUUAUGGCUAAGUGGGUAAUAAGGGAUUUGUUUGGUGUUAGGGAGUAUACAAGGGGCAGAAGUUUCGCUAUCAAGGCUGCAAGUGUGCGAUAUUCUCGUCGCUUCAUUGAAGGUUGAGACCAAGGGUCGGUUGGUGCAUCUUCAAGAAUCUGAGGGUUGUGUUUUCAAUUGAUUUCGGGAAGCGGGUUUCGAUUGUUGAUCGAUUCUUUACUUCAUUAGGCUUUGAUUGAAUAACGAAUUAAGUAGUUGACUAAUGUCGUUUUGGUUGAAUCUAGGUUUUUGGAGUGCUCGAAGUGCA